UACGUAGGGGGCAAGCGUUGUUCGGAAUUACUGGGCGUAAAGGGCGCGUAGGCGGCCUGCUAAGUCGAACGUGAAAAUCCCUGGGCUCAACCCAGGAACUGCGUCCGAUACUGGUUGGCUUGAAUCCGGGAGAGGGAUGUGGAAUUCCAGGUGUAGCGGUGAAAAUGCGUAGAUAUCUGGAGGAACACCGGUGGCGAAGGCGACAUCCUGGACCGGUAUUGACGCUGAGGGCGCGAAAAGCCCAGGGGGGAGCAAAACGGGG
rnacentral:rRNA from 1 species